UACGAAGGGUGCAAACGUUGCUCGGAAUUAUUGGGCGUAAAGCGCACGUAGGCGGCUUAGCAAGUCGGAAGUGAAAUCCCUCGGCUCAACCAAGGAAGUGCUUUCGAAACUGCUGAGCUUGAGUACGAAAGAGGAUCGCGGAAUUCCCGGUGUAGAGGUGAAAUUCGUAGAUAUCGGGAGGAACACCAGUGGCGAAGGCGGCGAUCUGGGUCGAUACUGACGCUGAGGUGCGAAAGCGUGGGAGCAACAGGA
rnacentral:rRNA from 1 species